rnacentral:rRNA from 1 species
UACGGAGGGUGCGAGCGUUAAUCGGAAUUACUGGGCGUAAAGCGCGCGUAGGCGGUUUGAUCAGUCGGGUGUGAAAUCCCUGGGCUUAACCUAGGAAUUGCAUUCGAUACUGCGAUGACUUGAGUUCGGUAGAGGAGUGUGGAACUCCUGGUGUAGCGGUGGAAUGCGCAGAUAUCAGGAAGAACACCGGUGGCGAAGGCGGCACUCUGGGCCGAUACUGACGCUGAGGAGCGAAAGCUAGGGGAGCAAACAGG